rnacentral:tRNA from 1 species
AGUAUAAUAGAAUAAUUAGUUCGUUUCGUUUACACCGAAAAAGUCGACUUUUAGUUGUUUUGCUG